GUUUUCCGUAGUGUAGUGGUUAUCAUGCUCGCCUAACACGCGAGAGGACCCUGGUUCGAAACCGGGCAGGAACA